UCAAAUAAAUAAACCUAAUAUUAAUUAAAAAGGGGGAUAAAUACUUUGAGAAAACAAAGUAUAUAAAAAGGCCAAAUUAACGGGACUUAAAAACAUAACAGGUUAUAAUUUCCCGAACCCGUUAAAAUAACUAGGAGUAAUUAACCUAGUUAGUGGCUUGUGAUUAAGUGACUAAUGGUGAGGCAUAGCUUUAUUUGAUCAAAAGAAAACCCGAGGGACCAAAACCGUUAAAAAUGGGAAACUUGAAAGAUUAAAACAAAAUAAACACCACCAAACACACACUUAGGUGUGUUUGGUCGAUUAAAAACGCAGGGAACGAGCAGGAGCUUCACACAAACCCUAACUCUCACUAAAUCAAUCAAUUGAAGGCUCUAAUCUGGUCCAAAUCGAAAUCCGAGCACGUAUUAGUGAUCCCCACUGAAAAAGGAGUCACAAGUUUGACUCUAAACAAGCUAGGUGGGAGCUUGGAAAGGAACGGGUCAAACGAAUGAUGGAUGCGAAGGAUGUUUGCGCGGACGCGAGGUAAGUAAAGCUUACACUUUUUUUUAUACGUAUUUACUUUAUAGAUUAUAGACACGACCAAGGUUAUAUCCGAAAUAUGGGUUCCGACACGAAAUGAUACGGGUCGGGAAGAAUAAAAGGAUAAAAACCAUGUUUAAUGACAAAAAGGGGCGAAAUGGGUUAAAUAAUGAAAUGGUAAAUAAAUACCAUUCAAAUAUAAGUGCAAAAUGUUGGUCGUUUAGACUAAACAGGUCAAAUGGUAAUGUUAACACCAUUUGACGAAUAACGACUAACAAGUGCAUGUCAAGUCUAAUGCUCACAGGGUAAAACGGCUUAUGGAAUUUACGUGGCUAUGAAUCAGCAAAUUAUUAAGGCAAGGUAUUAAAACGGGUCAAUACUUUGACCCGCGCCAGGUACAUUUUGGAUGCCGGAAGACGAUCAAGCUCGACGAAGGACCGAACACGAUAUAGAUACAUGCUUCCGCACUCUAACACAUUGCAAAUAACUAACAACGAAUUCAACCACGUUAUGUAGAAUAACUUAUGAAUUGUAAAAGUUUUAAUAAAUUGUAUUUUUAUAGUAUGUGUAGGCUUAACUACACAUCUAAUUGUUGGCGUAUACAUAUAAAAUUGUUAAUUAGUAACUAGGGUGUUACAAGCUAUCAAGCUAAAGGUAUUAAGAAACUCUCUUUUAACUUAA